rnacentral:rRNA from 1 species
AUUGAACGCUGGCGGCAGGCCUAACACAUGCAAGUCGAGCGGAGCGGCGGACGGGUGAGUAAUGCCUGGGAAUCUGCAUGGUAGUGGGGGAUAACGUCCGGAAACGGGCGAUAAUACGGCAUACUAUCAGAUGAGCCUAGGGCGGAUUAGCUAGUUGGGGGGGAAAAGGCCUACCAGGGCGACGAUCCGGAACUGGUCUGAGAGGACGAUCAGUCACAUUGGAACUUAGACACGGUCCAGACUCCUACGGGCGGCAGCAGUGGGGAAUAUUGGACAAUGGGCGAAAGCCUGAUCCAGCCAUGCCGCGUGUGUGAAGAAGGUCUUCGGAUUGUAAAGCACUUUAAGUUGGGAGGCGUUACCAACAGAAUAAGCACCGGCUAACUUCGUGCCAGCAGCCGCGGUAAUUC